GACGAACGCUGGCGGCGUGCUUAACACAUGCAAGUCGAGCGAUGAAGUUCCUUCGGGAAUGGAUUAGCGGCGGACGGGUGAGUAACACGUGGGUAACCUGCCUCAUAGAGGGGAAUAGCCUUUCGAAAGGAAGAUUAAUACCGCAUAAGAUUGUAGUAUCGCAUGAUACAGCAAUUAAAGGAGUAAUCCGCUAUGAGAUGGACCCGCGUCGCAUUAGCUAGUUGGUGAGGUAACGGCUCACCAAGGCGACGAUGCGUAGCCGACCUGAGAGGGUGAUCGGGCACAUUGGGCCUGAGACACGGCCCAGACUCCUACGGGAGGCAGCAGUGGGGAAUAUUGCACAAUGGGGGAAACCCUGAUGCAGCAACGCCGCGUGAGUGAUGACGGUCUUCGGAUUGUAAAACUCUGUCUUCAGGGACGAUAAUGACGGUACCUGAGGAGGAAGCCACGGCUAACUACGUGCCAGCCGCCGCAGUAA
rnacentral:rRNA from 1 species